rnacentral:rRNA from 1 species
UCAAGCUGAAAAGAGCGCAAGGGGAAUGCCUUGGCAUCAGGAGCCGACGAAGGACGUGACAAGCUGCGAUAAGCCACGGGGAGGAGCAAAUAUCCGCUAUAUCCGUGGAUUUCCGAAUGGGGGAACCCGCUCAAGCAAUACUUGAGCAUCGUGCGUUGAAUCAAAUAGGCGUACGAAGGGAACGGCCUGAACUGAAACAUCUAAGUAGGGCCAGGAAAAGACAUCAACCGAGAUUCCGCUAGUAGUGGCGAGCGAACGCGGAGGAGGCCAAACCGGAGGAUUUAUUCUCCGGGGUUGCGGACAGACAUCAAGACCAGAGGUAAUUAAGAGAACGGCGUGGGAAAGCCGGCCAUAGAAGGUGAGAGCCCUGUAUCUGAAAAUGAAGACUGGCAGUCUGGAUCCAGAGUACCGCGGGACACGUGAAACCCCGUGGGAAACCGGGUGGACCACCAUCCAAGCCUAAAUACUACCUGAUGACCGAUAGAGGAGCAGUACCGUGAGGGAAAGGUGAAAAGAACCCCGGGAGGGGAGUGAAAUAGUACCUGAAACCGUAUGUCUACAAGCAGUCGAAGCGAAAGCGACGGCGUGCCUAUUGAAGAAUGAACCAACGAGUUAUCUGCACUAGCGAGGUUAAGUGGAAGACACGGAGCCGCAGCGAAAGCGAGUCUUAAGAGGGCGCUAGUUAGUGUAGGUAGACCCGAAACCGCAGUGAUCUACCCAUGUCCAGGUUGAAGCGCAGGUAAAAUUGCGUGGAGGACCGAACCGGUGAGCGUUGAAAAGCUUUCGGAUGAGAUGUGGGUAGGGGUGAAAUUCCAAUCGAACCCGGAGAUAGCUGGUUCUCCCCGAAAUAGCUUUAGGGCUAGCCUGAGGUAGUAAGUAUAGGCGGUAGAGCACUGAUCGGGCUAGGGGCCGUAAAGGUUACCGAACCCUGUCAAACUCCGAAUGGAUAUACUGUAGAGCCUUGGAGUCAGACUACGAGUGAUAAGAUCCGUGGUCAAAAGGGAAACAGCCCAGACCACCAGCUAAGGUCCCCAAUGUCGUACUAAGUGGAAAAGGAUGUGGGGUUGCAUAAACAACCAGGAUGUUGGCUCAGAAGCAGCCACCAUUUAAAGAGUGCGUAAUAGCUCACUGGUCGAGAGACCCUGCGCCGAAGAUUCCCGGGGCUAAAGUACGAAACCGAAGCUGUGGCUGUAUACGUAAAGUAUACGGGGUAGGGGAGCGUUCCCAUAGGGUAGAAGUCGAACUGGAAGGUUCGGUGGACUUGUGGGAAGUGAGAAUGUUGGUAUGAGUAGCGAAAAGAAAGGUGAGAAUCCUUUCCACCGAAAGCAUAAGGAUUCCUGAGCAACGAUCGUCGUCUCAGGGUAAGUCGGGACCUAAUCCGAGGCAGAGAGCGUAGGAGAUGGACAACUGGUUGAUAUUCCAGUACCGGUAGUAAUUGUUUGAGCAAUGGAGUGACACAGAAGGGCAGGCAAGCAUGCGAAUGGAAGAGCAUGUGUAAGCGUGUAGGGUGGUGCAUAGGCAAAUCCGUGCACUGAAAGCCUGAGGCGUGAUGCGGAGUGAGCAGAGAUGCGAGCGAAGUUGUUGACCCCACACUGUCGAGAAAAGCUUCUAGUGAGAGAGCUACCGCCCGUACCGUAAACCGACACAGGUAUGCGGGGAGAGAAUCCUAAGGUGCGCGGGAGAACCCUCGUUAAGGAACUCGGCAAAAUGUACCCGUAACUUCGGGAUAAGGGUAGCCACUGUUGUGAAGUCCCAUGCGGAUGGAGCAUAGAGUGGUCGCAGAGAAGAGGCCCAAGCGACUGUUUACCAUAAACACAGGUGCCUGCUAAAGCGAAAGCUGACGUAUAGGUGCUGACACCUGCCCAGUGCCGGAAGGUUAAGGAAGGAUGUUCGGAUUAGUCCAAAGCAUUCGACUGAAGCCCCGGUGAACGGCGGCCGUAACUAUAACGGUCCUAAGGUAGCGAAAUUCCUUGUCAGGUAAGUUCUGACCCGCAUGAAAGGCGUAAUGAUUUGGGCACUGUCUCAACAGCCCGCCCGGCGAAAUUGUAGUACCGGUGAAGAUGCCGGUUACCCGCGACAAGACGGAAAGACCCCAUGGAGCUUUACUGUAGCCUAAUAUUGGGUUUCGAUGUUGCAUGCACAGGAUAGAUGGGACACAGGGAAACAGGAGCUUUGGCUUCUGCGGAGUGGCCGUUGGGAUACCAUCCUUGCGAUAUUGGAAUUCUAACCUGCGGCUCUGAAUCGAGUCGGGGGACAUUGUUAGGUGGGCAGUUUGACUGGGGCGGUCGCCUCCUAAAAAGUAACGGAGGCGUUCAAAGGUUCGCUCAGCUUGAACGGAAAUCAAGCAAAAGAGUGCAAACGCAGAAGCGAGCCUAACUGCGAGACUGACGGGUCGAGCAGUAACGAAAGUUGGAGUUAGUGAUCCGGUGGUAUGUGAGUGGAAAUGCCAUCGCUCAACGGAUAAAAGUUACCCUGGGGAUAACAGGCUGAUCUCCCCCAAGAGUCCACAUCGACGGGGAGGUU